rnacentral:rRNA from 1 species
UUCGGGGCAACUGCUGCGCUUGUUCAUGCUGAUACGGUACAAGGCGUGCCGUACGGAUAUUACAGCCUGUGUAUUUUUUAGGGCAGAGGCUUAAACAUUCACGGGGAACUUGGCUGGAGCAUUGUUGAAUCUCUAGGGGAAACCCGGAUUAAUACCCCAUGGUACCGCAAGGUUAAAGGUGGCCAGCAAUGGCUGCCGCUGGAGGAUUGGUUCGCGCCCUAUCAGCUUGUUGGUGAGGUAACGGCUCACCAAGGCUACGACGGGUACCUGGUCUGAGAGGACGAUCAGGCACACUGGAACUGAGACACGGUCCAGACACCUACGGGUGGCAGCAGUCGAGAAUAAUUCACAAUGGACGAAAGUCUGAUGGUGCAACGCCGCGUGGAGGAUGACGGUCUUCGGAUUGUAAACUCCUGUCAUCUGGGAGAAAGACCUGGGAGUUAAUAGCUCACAGGGUUGAUAGUACCAGAAGAGGAAGGGACGGCUAACUUCGUGCCAGCAGCCGCGGUAAUACGAAGGUCCCAAGCGUUGUUCGGAAUCACUGGGCGUAAAGGGAGCGUAGGCGGCGCGGUAAGUCGGAUGUGAAAUCCCGAGGCUCAACCUCGGAACUGCAUCUGAUACUGCCGUGCUAGAGUAAUGGAGGGGUAGCUGGAAUUCUCGGUGUAGCAGUGAAAUGCGUAGAUAUCGAGAGGACAACUCGUGCGAAAGCGAGCUACUGGACAUUUACUGACGCUUGAGCUCCAAGCUUAGGGGAGCGAAAGGAAUAAAUACCCUGUAGUCCUAC